UGAUCUGGAUUAAAUAUUAGUCCCAUCAAGUUGGAACACUUGAUGCAAACUUCUUUAAUUGACGGGGAAAUCCUUAGAGACAUGUGCACCAAGUCUAGAUAGCGAUAUACUAGAUGGCCAGUCUAACUCACUGGGUAUGGUAAAAGACACAUGUAUUGGGCAAUCCGCAGCGAAGCUUCUCUCUGAGAAGAACGUUCAACGACUAUCCCGUAAGGGAGUACAUCCAAGUGGGUGGAAAUAGGAAGCAUCCGAUCCUCGAAAGAGAAGGAUGGUGAUAUAGUCUCCACAUCCAGGGAAAGCCUGGAG
rnacentral:ncRNA from 1 species